GUUUCGAAUGAAAGGAGAGAAGAUUAGCUCCAUCCUUGACAAGAAUGUAAGAUGACACAAAAUGAUACAAGUGACAUUCAACACACAUAUCUCACCAUGACUGGAAUGCCUGAAAGGUUGCUGGUUCGACCGCUUCAAGGUAGAAAGUAUUUAGGAUUUUUUUAU